rnacentral:rRNA from 1 species
UACGGAGGGUGCAAGCGUUAUCCGGAUUCACUGGGUUUAAAGGGUGUGUAGGCGGAUAUUUAAGUCAGUGGUGAAAUCUCAAGGCUCAACCUUGAAACUGCCAUUGAUACUAUUUAUCUUGAAUAUCGUUGAGGUAGGCGGAAUAUAUCAUGUAGCGGUGAAAUGCUUAGAUAUGAUAUAGAACACCGAUUGCGAAGGCAGCUUGCUAAACGAUUAUUGACGCUGAGGCACGAAAGCGUGGGGAGCAAACAGG